rnacentral:rRNA from 1 species
CCUACGGGUGGCAGCAGUGAGGAAUAUUGGUCAAUGGGGGAAACCCUGAAGCAGCAACGCCGCGUGAAGGAUGAAGGUUUUCGGAUUGUAAACUCCUUUUGUUAGAGAAGAUAAUGACGGUAUCUCACGAAUUAGCACCGGCUAACUCCGUGCCAACAUCCGCGGUAAUCCGGAGGGUGCAAGCGUUACUCGGAAUCACUGGGCGUAAAGAGAGCGUAGGCGGGAUAACAAGUCAGAUGUGAAAUCCUAGGGCUUAACCAUAGAAGUGCAUUUGAAACUGUUAUUCUAGAGUAUAGGAGAGGUAGGUGGAAUUCUUGGUGGAGGGGUAAAAUCCGUAGAGAUCAAGAGGAAUACUCAUUGCGAAGGCGACCUGCUAGAACAUAACUGACGCUGAUGCGCGAAAGCGUGGGGAGCAAACAGGAUUAGAUACCCCUGUAGUC